rnacentral:rRNA from 1 species
GACGAACGCUGGCGGCGUACUUUAUACAUGCAAGUCGAACGAUGAAGUUCCUUCGGGAAUGGAUUAGUGGCGAACGGGUGAGGAACACGUGAGAAACCUGCCUUUCAUUCUGGGAUAACACCGGGAAACCGGUGCUAAUACCGGAUACUCCGUCUUGGCGGCAUCGCCGAGCCGGGAAAAAAUUUUGAUGAAAGAUGGUCUCGCGGCCUAUCAGCUAGUUGGUGAGGUAAUAGCUCACCAAGGCGACGACGGGUAGCCGGCCUGAGAGGGCGACCGGCCACACUGGGACUGAGACACGGCCCAGACUCCUACGGGAGGCAGCAGUAGGGAAUAUUGGGCAAUGGGCGCAAGCCUGACUCAGCGACGCCGCGUGAGGGAUGAAGGUCUUCGGAUUGUAAACCUCUUUCAGUAGGGAAGAAGCGAAAGUGACGGUACCUAAAGAAGAAGCACCGGCUAACUAUGUGCCAGCAGCCGCCGUAA